UCUAGAUUCUUGGUUGAUAGAAUUUCUGGGUUUGAUUUCAUUUGCCUCUUGUUCCUCUCAUUCCCUGGUUUGUUGAUAAACUUGCUUUCGAUUCUUCACAUUUUUUGGGUUUGUUUGUAUAAUUGAACCUUGUGUUCUUAUUUUUUGGGUUUAUUUUCAAGAUUGUUCUUAGUGUUCUUAUUUUCCGGGUUACUAACCUAUUAAAUUUGAGUUUUGAGUUUCUCAUUCCCAGAAAACAAGAAUGUCUUCAAGGAUUCCUCAACCCAGAAGGAAGAGCCUCUCAAGAUCACAACGAGAAGCUCAUCACAGCCAAUCUGCCAAAGAAAUUGCAAGAAAUUUCUUGACAAUCCAAGCCACUGGAACCGGACUCGAUCGGGUCAGAAGCGGAAGAAGAGAAGCCCGAGCACAAACCCGAUCACCCGAUCGGGCCAGUCGUGUGUAGAAAGACUUGUGCACUCGACCGAGCCUCCUGCAGUUCCGAUCGAGCCUGACCACGUGUUUCUGAUCGAGCAAUCUUGCACGCACACCAGAUCCAAGGGCAACCAGCACCUACUCAAUUACCUCAACAACAUUGACCGCUUGCCUAGACAACUCUGAAAGCAACGCGUUAAAACAUCAGACAUCAACACUCAGCAAGUGGAAAUGGACCCUCCACCACGGGCACCAACACUAAACGGAGCCGGUGAUGCCCCACGAAACCACACAACUCGACAAGGGAUAGUCCCUCAAGCAGUCCAGAAAACCAACUUCGAGAUAAAGAGUAGCCUCAUUUCAAUGAUACAGGGAAAUAAAUUACAUGGAUUAUCAAUGGAAGACCCUCUCGAUCACCUCGAUGAGUUCGAUCGAAUGUGUGGCUUAACAAAAAUAUACGGUGUGAGCGAAGACGGGUUCAAGCUCCGAUUGUUCCCUUUCUCCCUUGGCGAUAAAGCUCAUUAAUGGGAGAAGUAAUUGCCCGCUGGAUCAAACACAACUUGUGAGGAGUGCAAGAAAGCAUUCUUGUCCAAGUUCUUCUCCAAUGCACGAACCGCACGAACCGCACGAUUGAGGAACAACAUCUCUAGCUUUGCUCAGCGCAACAACGAAACCUUCUAUGAAGCAUGUGAGAGAUUCAAAAGCUAUUAGUCAUAAUGUCCUCACAACGGUUUCAGCAACGAGUCGCUGCUUAGUACUCUCUACCGAGGAAUACUACCCAAGUUUCGCCUAUUUCUCGAUACGGCCAGCAAUGGAAAUUUUCUAAACAAGGAUGUUGAAGCUGGCUGGGAACUCGUGGAGAUUCUAGCUCAGUCCGAUGGAACGUACAAUGAGGACUAUGAGAGAACCGUUCGGGGAAACACAGAACAAGAGGACAAGUAUAAGAAGGAUAUGAAGGCACUAAACGACAAGCUCGAUAAAUUUAUGAUGAACCAGCAGAAGAGUGAUAACUUUGUUCAAGAGGAGGAGACCUUUAUCCAUCAUGAUGGUGAUUGCGAAAAUAAUGAGGAGGUAAGCUAUAUCCAGAAUCAAGGAGGUUACCAAAAGGGUUACAACAACUAUAAACCCUACCCGAAUCUUUCUUAUAGAAGCACCAACGUUGCAAACCCUCAAGAUCAAGUCCAUCCACCUCAACAACAACAAUUCCAGAACAAGCCAUUUGUUGGCUUUAAUCAAAAACAAGGGAAUGUAAAUGAUAAUUGACCUUUCGUAAGAAGCUUUUGAGCAUGCAAAUCUUCCAGAUUCAUUUAACGAUAUCAAAAAUAUUAUCUGUAAGUUAGGAAUGAACUGUGAGUCUAUUUACGUAUGGGAGAUUCCACUUA